AACGAACGCUGGCGGCAGGCUUAACACAUGCAGGUCGAGCGCCCCGCAAGGGGAGCGGCAGACGGGUGAGUAACGCGUGGGAAUCUACCCAUCUCUACGGAAUAACGCAUGGAAACGUGUGCUAAUACCGUAUACGUCCUUCGGGAGAAAGAUUUAUCGGAGAUGGAUGAGCCCGCGUUGGAUUAGCUAGUUGGUGGGGUAAAGGCCUACCAAGGCGACGAUCCAUAGCUGGUCUGAGAGGAUGAUCAGCCACACUGGGACUGAGACACGGCCCAGACUACUACGGGAGGCAGCAGGGGGGAAUAUUGGACAAUGGGCGCAAGCCUGAUCCAGCCAUGCCGCGUGAGUGAUGAAGGCCCUAGGGUUGUAAAGCUCUUUCACCGGUGAAGAUAAUGACGGUAACCGGAGAAGAAGCCCCGGCUAACUUCGUGCCAGCCGCCGCAGUAAUAC
rnacentral:rRNA from 1 species